ensembl:lncRNA
GUAGAUUUAAAGGAGUACAAUGCAUUAGCAAAAUCUCUCACUCCUUUUUUUUUAAUCAUUUCCUAAUAAUUUGAAUAAUCUACAAAUUAACUUGAAACUGUCUGGAGCUAAUUUGGGUGAUUCAUUUCAUGAAUUAUAUUUUAACAAUGGUUUCACUUUGUGUCAUGUCUUUGUGUCAAAUAUUUUUCCAGCAAAAUGUCAACUUUGCAUCCCUCUACAUUCUGUUGUGCCUGAUGCCAUCAUAUUUUCUCAUAUCAGAGUUUUUGAAAUUGGCCAGGCAGUUCCAGACAAAAACACAUUUGUAGCUGGGCCCGAUGACAGAAGUAGCUGUGGCUUCCAGCUGUGUGUUAACACAAUAGCCUUAACUCUUUGGCCGGACUCUGGAUGGGUCCCUGGGGAACAGCUCUGCUUUUUAAAGCCACAGGAGCAGUCCCAGGUAUCACAAUGAGGAAUGCUGUUUGUAACUGUUCUGGAAAACAGCUGAGAGGAACACAGCGGAGGACAUGAGACGUUUGAAGAGCUAUCUUAAGUGGUGAUGGGGAGGUGGAGCUUCCAGGAAGAUGGACAUAAACCAAAGCAUCGCUGACAACAUUAACAUGACCUGCCACAGCAUCGCAGUUUUAAGCUGAAAUUACAUAUAACACACACACACACACACACACACACACACACACACAUCAUACACCCUUACAAAUAUGUCCACUGUGCAAACAUAUUUGCUGUUAUAUUGAAAAAUGCUCUAAACUUGACAGUGAAACACUUCCUUUUUUUCCUUGUCCUUUUUUGCACUUAAAUUCUGAAGUCUCCCUUUGAGAGCUAAAAUGUGCAAGUGCUCUCACUCCAAGCCAACAUCUCUAAGUGUUACAUAUUUGUGGUUGCACUGGAAAACCACAAUUUAUGAAUUUUGUUGAAUUACUGAUUGUUGAGUAUUUGUCAACUUAGUUAAGUAAAUCUCAGACUGCCAGUGACCAAAGUCCAGACCUGAAGCAAGAACAAGUGUAGUUAUUUAAUUAGCACAGUUAACAAAAACUGUAUCCUAGGUCAAAUCUAUACUGAAGUGAUUAGGAUUUUUAAUUAUAAAUAAAGUCAAACCAAUAUUUAUUUAGACUCCUUCA